UGUCGAUGAAGAGCGCAGCCAACUGUGUGAAUUAAUGUGAAAUGCAUACCGCUAUGAACAUCGACAACUUGAACGCAUAUUGCGGCCACGGGUUAUCCUGCGGCCUCGCCUGUCCGAGGGUCG
rnacentral:rRNA from 1 species